AGCGGCGGACGGGUGAGUAACGCGUGGGUAACCUGCCCUGUACACACGGAUAACAUACCGAAAGGUAUACUAAUACGAGAUAAUACGCUUUUAUCGCAUGGUAGAAGUAUCAAAGCUUUUGCGGUACAGGAUGGACCCGCGUCUGAUUAGCUAGUUGGUAAGGUAACGGCUUACCAAGGCGACGAUCAGUAGCCGACCUGAGAGGGUGAUCGGCCACAUUGGAACUGAGACACGGUCCAAACUCCUACGGGAGGCAGCAGUGGGGAAUAUUGCACAAUGGGCGAAAGCCUGAUGCAGCAACGCCGCGUGAGCGAUGAAGGCCUUCGGGUCGUAAAGCUCUGUCCUCAAGGAAGAUAAUGACGGUACUUGAGGAGGAAGCCCCGGCUAACUACGUGCCAGCAGCCGCGGUAAUACGUAGGGGGCUAGCGUUAUCCGGAAUUACUGGGCGUAAAGGGUGCGUAGGUGGUUUCUUAAGUCAGAGGUGAAAGGCUACGGCUCAACCGUAGUAAGCCUUUGAAACUGGGAAACUUGAGUGCAGGAGAGGAGAGUGGAAUUCCUAGUGUAGCGGUGAAAUGCGUAGAUAUUAGGAGGAACACCAGUUGCGAAGGCGGCUCUCUGGACUGUAACUAACACUGAGGCACGAAAGCGUGGGGAGCAAACAGGAUUAGAUACCCUGGUAGUCCACGCCGUAAACGAUGAGUACUAGCUGU
rnacentral:rRNA from 1 species